UACGUAGGGGGCUAGCGUUGUCCGGAUUUAUUGGGCGUAAAGAGCGUGUAGGCGGCCAGGUAGGUCUGGUGUGAAAACUCGAGGCUUAACCUCUAGACGUCGAUGGAAACUGUUUGGCUAGAGUCCGGAAGAGGAGAAUGGAAUUCCUGGUGUAGCGGUGAAAUGCGCAGAUAUCAGGAAGAACACCCGUGGCUAAGGCGGUUCUCUAGUACGGUACUGACGCUGAGACGCGAAAGCGUGGGGAGCGAACAGG
rnacentral:rRNA from 1 species